GACGAAGGGGGCUAGCGUUGUUCGGAAUUACUGGGCGUAAAGCGCGUGUAGGCGGUUGUUCAAGUCAGGUGUGAAAGCCUUGAGCUCAACUCAAGAAAUGCACUUGAUACUGGAUGACUAGAGGACCGGAGAGGAUAGUGGAAUUCCCAGUGUAGUGGUGAAAUACGUAGAGAUUGGGAAGAACACCAGUGGCGAAGGCGGGUCUCUGGACAGUUCCUGACGCUGAGGCACGAAGGUCAGGGGAGCAAACGGG
rnacentral:rRNA from 1 species